GCGGGUAUAGUUCAAUGGUAGAAUGCAGUGCUUCCGACCCUGAGAUGUGGGUUCGAUUCCCAUUACCCGCUCCA
rnacentral:tRNA from 1 species